UACGUAGGGGGCGAGCGUUGUCCGGAUUUAUUGGGCGUAAAGAGCGUGUAGGCGGCCAGGUAGGUCUGCUGUGAAAACUCGAGGCUCAACCUCGAGACGUCGGCGGAAACCAUCUGGCUAGAGUCCGGAAGAGGAGAGUGGAAUUCCUGGUGUAGCGGUGGAAUGCGCAGAUAUCAGGAGGAACACCGAUAGCGAAGGCAGCUCGCUGGGACGGUACUGACGCUAAGGCGCGAAAGCGUGGGGAGCGAACAGG
rnacentral:rRNA from 1 species